rnacentral:lncRNA from 1 species
CACAUAUACUGUUAUUAAAUAAACAAUAAUAAUUUAGAAAAAAAUUGAGGCUAAAUUAUAAAAAUUUCCGUCAAAUUUCGAUUUUUCACUUUUUCUCCUAUCAUUUAAAAAUCUACACUUUACUCUCUUGUAAAAUAAAAAAUGUUCACAAAGGUACGGUGUGAACUGUGAUAACAAAAUAACUAUUUUGCCCCUCAUUAUAUUCACAGGAGAAAAGGCUGAGGAUAUUUUUGGCAUAAAAAAUAUAUAAUAAUAUUUUAUAAACGGAAUCCUAACGGAUUACUAACGGCAGGGGGCGAAGUGUAUAUUUUUCAUUUUAUAAGGGGGCAAAGUGUAGAUUUUUAAAUGACAGAAAGAGAAAGUAAAAAAUCGGAUUUUAACAGAAAAAUUUUAUGUAAUUUAGCCAAAAUUUAAAUAUCAUUUAUAUAGUUUCGCAUUUUUUUUUAUUUUAGCAUUCUGUGAUUUAAAGUGUAUCACUUUCGUACCUUUCUGAUUUUUUUUUUUCUUUUUGUUAUCCUCUCCACUAAUUCUUUUCGAUAAUUUAGUAAUAAAGUAAAAACUAAAAAGUAUUAAAGUAAACAUUUGGUAAACUAUAGGUGGGGCGUCUGAAGGGUUUUUUGUAUAUGAUUUAGCAAAAAGUUAACGGAGGAGUCAAUAAAAAGAAAAAAUAAAACCACAUAAUACUAAAUUGAUACACUUAAAUCACAGGAUAUUAAAACAAGAAAGUGCGAAAUCACCGGGGUGGUAUUCGAAGUUUGCCCAAAUAAUUUUAUUCUUUGAAAAAAGCGGGGAAUCUUAUGCUGAACUUUACUUCUUCUUUUUUUUUGCUUUUAUAUAUAAUAAUUAUAGAAAAGCUUCCUUAUAUUUUACAAAACUUUCUAAAAGUGUUUAACAUUUCUAAAAAUGCAUUAAUAAACAAUUAUUUAAAUUUAUUAUAACUUCUAAUUCGAACUUUAUGAAUUAUUGCAAUUAGAUAUCACUACUAAUACGUAACUAAAUAUUAUCAUUAAUAUUAUUUUUAUAUUACCGACAAAUCAAUAAUUAGCUAACUAAAUUAUAUUAUAAAAUUUAAUUAUAAUAAUUUAUAAAAUUUGAAUCAGAGAUACUAUAAUAAAUUAAAGUUUGAGAACUGAAACGACAGAUGCGGAGAACAGUUUUGAGGAC